CUAGGGGGGUGGGAUUGAUUGCGCAAGGACGGGGCUAGCUGGACAGAACGGCUAGUGCUUUUUACAUCACUAGAGAUAUAGCUACUGAAGCCAAACAAGUUCAUAUUGCCACAAGAAGCCCUGAUGUGAAAGUGGAAAAGCUGGAAAACCACAACAAUAUAUGGCAGCAUAUGAUGGGUCUGCUCUUCAACAUAAUAGAGUUACAUUAAUCCAAGUGGAUUGCUGCCAAACAAAGAGGAAAUGAUGGCUUCCACUAAUGAGUUUUACAAGUAAAUGUAGGACCUUGGCUUGCCAAAACGCUCAGCCCAUUUCCUUGCACCAUAUCAGUUUGCUAUUGUGCAAUGGAGACUAACUGAGGUCUGUCAAAGAUUGCAGCAUGAUCUUGUGAUCCAGAGUUUUAAUGGUCUAUAUUGAGAUGCAUUUCUUUGGAGCAAUACUAGACAAUAUUGGCAGUUGAAGUUUUUAGAAUAAAAAAUAUAUUUCACUAACAUUGUAUACAUUUCUUGUUUAAUAUUUGGUGAUGAUAGAAUUUGAUUGUAGUAUAAACUAUCAUGUAAUAUGAUUUUGUAAGCCGAGUAGACUAAAUAUUGAAUUAUAUCUUUGAGUAAUUAAUAAAAAAUUAUUUUGUUGUA